AAUUAAUUGUGCGUGUUACAAAUAGAUUUUGAAAGGAACAUAAGGAGGUUGCAGAUAUAGAUAGUUUGCAUGAGUAAGCAAAAAUGGACUAAAACGUGGGAAAAAUGUAAAGUUUUCCACUUUGGCAAGAACAAUAAACAAAUAAAGAAUUACUUAAACAGAGAUCAGCUGCAGGAUUCUGAGGCGAAGAGGCAUCUAGGUGCUCCAGCGCAGGGGUCACAAAAAGCGAGGGUGCAUGCACAGUGAAUGAUUAAGGCGACUAAUGGAACGCUGUCCUUUACUGCAAGAGGAAUGGAACAAAGAAGAAAGAGUGUUAUGCUUCAGUUAAACAGGGAAUUGGCUCAGGAGCAGUGUCCUUCCAGGGGAAACGAGAUGUGUCUCAAACCAGUCUAUUAUCCAACAUUUUGGGUUAUCAUCCAUGACUCAUCAAUGGGGGUGAAUCCAAUGGACAAUCUGAAAAUGCAAAGGAAACUACAGAUCUCUGACUGUCAGAGAGAGAAUAAAAGUCAAUGCUCUUCCAUCAAGCAAACUACUAGUCUUAUAAGUCCAAAGAGAAUGAGUUCCAGCAGAACAGAGAAACUACCAGAUCAUCUAAAUUUGUGAAGUUACUGUUUAGGGUUAGAUGGGGCAGUGGUGAUUGUACAACAAUGUAUAAUAAGAGAAAAAGCUUGGAGUGUAAUGUUGUAUAUGGGUCCGAAAGGGGUAAUACUAAAGAUUGUCUUAAGGAGCACUUACUAUGACGAUGUCAAAUUGACUUGUGGGCAGAACAGCUUAGGAUCUUUAAGGACUAAGACCUAACAUCUGGUCCUCCCCAAAAUCACUAUCUUGCAAGUCAAUAUAAUCUGUAACCAGUUGUUAACAUGCAAUAAACUGUAUCUUGUUAACUACA